rnacentral:lncRNA from 1 species
CACUACAUUAAGGAGUAUGGAAACUCUGCAGAGUUUAAGAGAGAGGCCAUCGACAUUGUCGUCGAUAGAUUUAUCGAUGGUUUUGAGAACUGCAAGACCCGCCUGUUGCAAAUGAUGCUCUAUUUAGAGCUCCAAUCCUUUCAGUCCGAAAACAGUGAUGAGGAGGCUUCCUCGUCGAAUGAGGACUGAGCUUCCUCAUCCUUAAGCUGGGGAUCGAGAAGAGCAUC